rnacentral:rRNA from 1 species
UACGUAGGGCGCAAGCGUUGUCCGGAAUUAUUGGGCGUAAGCGCGUGUAGGCGGCUUGGCAAGUCAGUUGUGAAAGCCCGGGGCCCAACCCCGGAACUGCAUCUGAAACUGCUUGGCUGGAGUCCCGGAGAGGAAGGCAGAAUUCCCGGUGUAGGGGUGAAAUCCGUAGAUAUCAGGAGGAACACCGAUGGCGAAGGCAGGUCUCUGGGCCGUAACUGACGCUGAGGAGCGAAAGCAUGGGGAGCGAACAGG